UUUAACGGCCGCGGUAUCCUAACCGUGCAAAGGUAGCGUAANCACUUGUCCCCUAAAUAGGGACCCGUAUGAACGGCUAAAUGAGGAUAAAUCUGUCUCCUUUAACAAAUCAGUGAAACUGAUCUACCAGUACAAAAGCUGGUAUAACCACAUAAGACGAGAAGACCCUGUGGAGCUUUAAAUUUAAACCAAACAACUAACACAAACACUAGUCCAUGGCCAAAAAUUUUAAGUUGGGGCGACUUCGGAAAUAAACCAAACUUCCGAGCAAAAAGACCAUGUCUCACUAAGACCAACAAGUCUAAGCUAUAACUUGACCCAGUACAACUGAUAAUCGAACCAAGUUACCCCAGGGAUAACAGCGCAAUCUUCUUCAAGAGUCCCUAUCGACAAGAAGGUUUACGACCUCGAUGUUGGAUCAGGACACCCAAAUGGUGCAGCCG
rnacentral:rRNA from 1 species